rnacentral:rRNA from 1 species
GAUGAACGCUGGCGGCGUGCCUAAUACAUGCAAGUCGAGCGAACGGACGAGAAUCUUGCUUCUCUGAUGUUAUCGGCUGACGUGUGAGUAACACGUGGAUAACCUACCUAUAAGACUGGGAUAACUUCGGGAAACCGGAUCUAAUACCGGAUGAUAUUUUGAACCGCAUUGUUCAAAAGUGUAAGACUGUCUUGCUGUCUCUUAUAGAUGUAUCCGCGCUGCAUUAGCUAGUUGGUAAGGUAACGGCUUACCAAGGCAACGAUGCAUAGCCGACCUGAGAGGGUGAUCGGCCACACUGGAACUGAGACACGGUCCAGACUCCUACGGGAGGAAGCAGUAGGGAAUCUUCCGCAAUGGGCGAAAGCCUGACGGAGCAACGCCGCGUGAGUGAUGAAGGUCUUCGGAUCGUAAAACUCUGUUAUUAGGGAAGAACAUAUGUGUAAGUAACUGUGCACAUCUUGACGGUACCUAAUCAGAAAGCCACGGCUAACUACGUG